UGAAAAAUCAUCUUCAAUGUUUGAUCACAGAACUCCUGAAUCAGUAUGGGACCAGGAUACAACAUUUUUAUGUCACAGAGUGCCUGUGCCAUCUUCUGGAUGCUGUACUGUGCCACAAGAAAUGGAGUAAGAGAUUGUACCAUAGUCUGGACAAUAUUCUCAGUACUCUAUUCACACAGGUUUCCGCUAAGACUGAAAUAUCUGAUGUGCUAAGUAACUGGAAUCAAACCUCUGCAUUGCGAGCCUUCCAGGUGCUGGGU